rnacentral:lncRNA from 1 species
UAGAAAUACAAAAAGCCACCCCAGCAGGAUAGAAGGAAACAGUCCUUAUUGACUCCUGAGAGGAACCAACAUUCAUUCAAGCAAUGAGAUAUGAUGAAAUCCAGUUGACCAGGCAAAACAUAGAGCCUACUUGGGAUGGAGAAAUCAACAGAGAAUUUUUCCAUUAGAGCACACGACCCUUACUAGAAGCUUACUGAUGCCAACACCAUGCUUCUUGAACUUCCCAACCUGCAUAACGA